rfam:Salmo salar isolate Sally breed double haploid chromosome ssa02, whole genome shotgun sequence.
UGCAUUAAGAAUUUGUAAGUCGCUCUGGAUAAGAGCGUCUGCUAAAUGACUUAAA